rnacentral:rRNA from 1 species
UACGUAGGUGGCAAGCGUUGUCCGGAUUUACUGGGUGUAAAGCGCGUGUAGGCGGGGCGUUAAGUCAGAUGUGAAAGCCCAGGGCUCAACUCUGGGAGUGCAUUUGAAACUAAAUGACUUGAGUAUUGGAGAGGGAAGUGGAAUUCCUGGUGUAGCGGUGAAAUGCGUAGAGAUUAGGAGGAACACCGGUGGCGAAGGCGACUUCCUGGACCAAUACUGACGCUGAGGCGCGAAGGCGUGGGGAGCAAACAGG